rnacentral:tRNA from 2 species
GCGCCCGUAGCUCAGCUGGAUAGAGUAUUGCCCUCCGAAGGCAGUGGUCGGACGUUCGAAUCGUCUCGGGCGCGCCA